rnacentral:rRNA from 1 species
UACGUAGGCAGCGAGCGUUGUUCGGAAUUACUGGGCGUAAAGAGUGUGUAGGCGGUGCUCUAAGUUUGGUGUGAAAUCUCCCGGCUCAACCGGGAGGCUGCAUUGAAUACUGGAAUGCUAGAGGGUGGGAGAGGUAAGCGGAAUUCCUGGUGUAGCGGUGAAAAUGCGCAGAUAUCAGGAAGAACACCAAUGGCGAAGGCAGCUCUCUGGGACGGUACUGACGCUGAGACGCGAAAGCGUGGGGAGCGAACAGG